GUGGCUUUAGCUCAGUUGGUAGAGCAUCGGAUUGUGAUUCCGAGGGUCGGCGGUUCGAGCCCGCUAAGCCACC
rnacentral:tRNA from 1 species